AUACGGAGGGUGCAAGCGUUACUCGGAAUCACUGGGCGUAAAGCGUGCGCAGGCGGUCUUUUAAGUUGGAUGUGAAAGCCUACGGCUCAACCGUAGAACUGCAUCCAAAACUAUUAGACUAGAGUGUGGGAGAGGAAGAUGGAAUUAGUUGUGUAGGGGUAAAAUCCGUAGAGAUAACUAGGAAUACCAAAAGCGAAGGCAAUCUUCUGGAACACUACUGACGCUGAGGCGCGAAGGCGUGGGGAGCAAACAGGAUUAGAUACCCGAGAGUCC
rnacentral:rRNA from 1 species